CCUUAAUGAGCACUUGACUAAGCUUUGAUCUUCUUCUUGCUAACUCUUCUUCUUCCUUCUUGCUUAUGUGAAUAAUGAAAGACUAACUUAUGUUAACUUAUUCUCUCAACCAAAUAAGCUCUUAACUUAUAAGUGGGAUGAAAUGAAACAACCUCCAAAUGAAUGCAGAAGCUCCCUAUUUAUAGAAAUUCCUAGAUGAGGGUAUAAGGGACAUAAAGCCACUCCACCUCCUUAAUCACCUCCUUACUAUUCAUUGCUUUGCCCCUAAGUAAACUUGGCUUCCACACAAAAUACUUGGCCUCCAAAUCACUUAGCCAUUAAGUUAUCUUUCUCCCCAUAACACUUGAUCAUCACACUUACUUAAUCAUUAAGUAAUCUUGCUAAUCACAUAUAUGCACUUUGUGUGAUCACCACACUAACUUAGCCUUUAAGUUUACUUGAUUAGCACAUCAAUUUCUUGUCCACCACUUUGGACUAUCCAUGGUUUGCCCCAUGGUUUUAAACCAUCCCCUAACCCAUUGAAUUAUAGCUUGGGCCUUUAACUUAAUUAACUUAACCUAAUCAUUUGGGCUUGCAUUAAAUUGCUUUGGGCUUGUAAUUAAACAAACGUUGGGCUUGCAUUAAUAAACUCAUAUUGGACUUAACCAUCCAAUACUUGGGCUCACAUAAUACUUAACAAAUCCUACCAAUUUCUUACUUUUGGCUUAAAGCCUUAUAACAUAUAUUAUACGUAUAAUUCUCGUAUUCUAACUCGUAUACUAAUUCCACAUAUACGACAUACCAUUAUUCAUCAUACGUACUCGUAUGAUACCUCAUAUAGUAUUCGUAUUCCUUAUGUGACGCCCCCAAAACAUGUAUACAUCACCCAUCUUGAGUCACAAAAUACAUGGUACAAAAUUCAAAUACAACUUAAUUAUACAACAGUCGUUUAAAAUACGACAAAACAUAAUCUAAGAGUUUUAAUAAGAAUAUUGUCAUCUAGACAAUAUCCACACUCAAUGGAGUCCUCGUUACAUUUAUUGUCACACUAUUUAACAGAAUAGUGAGGACUACUAAUGCUAUCAUCUGGACCGUCACUCCGUUCCCUGACUAGUCCCAGCUACGUUCUCAUUUCCUGAAGAGAGCAGUGAAAGAAAGGGUGAGCUCAACUAGCCCAGUAAGAAAUAUUAUGACUAAGAUAAUGCAGAAUAAAUUAUCAUUAGCCUUCAACAGUAUAACAACUGAUAGAAUACAAUGGACAACAAGUUUUAGAUCAAAAACUGCAGCGGAAUAAGCAAUCCAUUAGAAGAGUCAAGUAAAUUAUAAAAUCUACUAUCUUCUAUUAUUUAAAAAGAUUUAUCAACAAUUUUAUCGGUGAGACUCAGCUUAAUAAAUAAUCCCCAUCAUUAAAUCAUCCAUGCACUACAGGCCAAGGAUAUUCUUUAGUAUCACGACCACGAAUUAUCCAUGCACUACAGGCCAAAGAUAAUUGUGUUUUCAUCAACGGUCCUGAUCAUGCCAUAAAAUAAUUCAUCUUUGCACCCUUGGCCGAAGAGAAUCCAUAGCCAUAAUCAUACCAAAAACUGUCCAUCAAUGCACUACGGGCCAAUGAGG
rnacentral:lncRNA from 1 species